GGCCACCGACCUAAGUUCCUUGGAACAGGACGUCAUAGAGGGUGAGAAUCCCGUAUGCGGUCGGAAAGGCGCUCUAUACGUAGCUCCUUCGACGAGUCGAGUUGUUUGGGAAUGCAGCUCUAAAUGGGAGGUAAAUUUCUUCUAAAGCUAAAUAUUGGCCAGAGACCGAUAGCGCACAAGUAGAGUGAUCGAAAGAUGAAAAGCACUUUGGAAAGAGAGUUAAAAAGCACGUGAAAUUGUUAAAAGGGAAGGGAUUGCAACCAGACUUGCUCGCGGUGUUCCGCCGGUCUUCUGACCGGUCUACUCGCCGCGUUGCAGGCCAGCAUCGUCUGGUGCCGCUGGAUAAGACUUGAGGAAUGUAGCUCCCUCGGGAGUGUUAUAGCCUCUUGUGAUGCAGCGAGCGCCGGGCGAGGUCCGCGCUUCGGCUAGGAUGCUGGCGUAAUGGUCGUAAUCCGCCCGUCUUGAAACACGGACCAAGGAGUCUAACAUCUAUGCGAGUGUUCGGGUGUCAAACCCCUACGCGUAAUGAAAGUGAACGGAGGUGAGAACCGCAAGGUGCAUCAUCGACCGAUCCUGAUGUCUUCGGAUGGAUUUGAGUAAGAGCAUAGCUGUUGGGACCCGAAAGAUGGUGAACUAUGCCUGAAUAGGGUGAAGCCAGAGGAAACUCUGGUG
rnacentral:rRNA from 2 species